ensembl:lncRNA
AUGCAGGAGACCUGGGUUUGAUCUCUGGGUCAGGAAGAUCGCCUGGAGAAGGGAAUGACAACCCACUCUGGUAUUCUUGCCUCGAGAAUUCCAUGAACAGAGGAGCCUGGUGGGCUACAGUCCACUGGGUCACAAAGAGUUGAACACGACUGAGUGACUAACACUUGCUGAAUGUAGGAGGCUCAGUGAGAGGUAACUUGGAGAAGAUAGGAGGGAAGAGAGUUCUAGGCAGAGGGAGUAAUGGGGUGAGUGGGACCCAGUUAGUAAUGAACUAUGUGAAGGUAUUUAUCCUAAGAGCAGUAGGAAGGGUUCUAUGCCAGGCUGGGGUCUUGGUCACUUGUGCAUCCCCAAAAGCAAAAAACGGACAGAGAAGGACCAGAGGAAGCUGGGAGACUAGUGAGGAAGGGCAAGGGAAAGGCAUGGCUGGUUGGGGUAGGGGCUGUGGCCAUGGAGAGAUCCUGGAGGUGAGGCUCGUCAAUGUGGUGAAGGCUGGGUCCUGGGCAGUGGGGGGAGAGGGAACAAGGACUCCUGGGUUCCCGCCUCUUCCGCUGGGAUGCAUGUAUGUGUGGGGAGCAGGGUGGUGGCCACGGAAAGAUGAGCUUGUUUCCUUGGAUGUGUAAGCUCCCUGAAGCAGGGAUGGGCCCUCACACUCCAUGUCUCUCCCAUGGGCCUUUAUGCCCAAGAGGAUUUCAGAAGACUUGUUCCUGGUUAAGGUGAGAAAAUUACCCCUGUUCCCCCAUCGGUCAGCAGACUUGACCAUGGACACACCCCCUUGGACUCCAAGGCUCUCUGCGUUGGGGGGUCGACCCUGUGCUCAUCUCUUGGAGGAGGCCCAGCCCCUCCUGGGGGCUCCCCGCUGGGACUGGUGUGCCGAACCUCCCUGUUCUUAACAGGACUGACUGGGGUGGGUCUCCCACCGCCUCACUGAGGCAGGCCCGGGUUUGGCCGCCCUCCCGGCUGUGUUGUAUCCAGUGGGAAACAUUUAGAAUAUGUGAACGUAAGUGGCUGCUGGAGAGAAAUCUACAAUUUCUCCUAUUAUUGGGAAAGAGCUAGGCUACCAUAGGCUACCAGAUGUUCUAUGUCAUAUAAUGGUAUGUUUUAUGGCAAAUGAAAAUAUAUAUAAAAUCUGUACCCAGAGAGCUCCCUACUUGCUAAAAGGGGGCUAGAUCCUUCUUUUUAUUCUUACCCUUUUCAGAUUUUUAGGCAAGAAUUCCCUUUCGGGCAAUGAACUUAUCUGCCAAGUUGGGGCCCAGGGGGAACCCUUAUGGGGGACUCGUAAACCCCGUCUUUUGAGGAAAUCUUGGGGCUGAGGCCACAUUCAGCCCCACGUGUUUACACAAUACUCUCUCUCAGCUCUGAGGGGCCAUUAGAGUUAAUUGGGUGAAUAAUCUGUGUUUAAAAAGUCCCCAAAUACGUAUUUACAUAAUCCACGCUUUGCCCAAGCCUGCUCAAGCCUAUUUGUGGGAUCUGGAGUGGAUCUGGGCUGAGCGUCUUCCUCCCGUGCUUCUAGAGCAGCUUCUCCUGUUGGUGACCAUCCUUCGGUGAGGACGGGGACAGGCAGGCUUCCCUCCUGGCUGAUGGCGUGGUGGGGCCUAUUAGUGUGGGGUCUUCCUGAGCCUUGGCCAAACACGUGUUUUGGAUCACUGUCCUGAGAGAUGCUGUAUGGGGAAAGAGGUUCCAUGGUUCAGUAAGUUUGGGAAGCACUGCAUCUUAUCUCCUCUCUUGGAGAUUCCCUGUGCUCAUUAUUCCACCAGGACUCCAAGAAGUCCUACAGUAGAGAGGUGGAUUUAGCUGUGUCUAAAUCCAGCUUCCUUCAGAUGUUAUCUGAUCUCAGCAUCUCCAUCCCUAACUCUGAUGAAUAGCCCAAAGAACUAGCCUUCUGUAGAAACACAUUGGGAAACAGCAAUCCACCCCCACUCCGUCCUUUUUUUUUUUUUUUUUUUAAAAACCAGGGGGCACUUCGAGUUCUGGCCACCCACCCAGACAUUGUGUGUACUGCCUUUGGUCGAGGCCCUUGUGUGCAGUCAUGUUGGCUGUGCACACACAACCCCCAAGAAUGCUUUUCACAUGACCACAGCCUUGCUGGUUCUUGGAACAGGAAAGACUCCAGGCAUUAGAGGCAGACCCAGGGUGUUGCAUGGAGACACGGCAUUCUCAGUUAGGGAGCCCUUACAGCCUGCCCACUCCUGUAGUUCUGUGCCCCGUUAGUUGCUGGCAUCCUUUCUAUAACAUUGUCUGUAUGGGUCACUCCAGCCACAGGAAUUCUCUGGGCUGGUUUGGGCACCAGGAAGGAUGAAUUCAGAUGCACUCAGGCCAAGCCUGCUUCCAAUAAAAGCUGAGCACUCACCCUCGGGAGUAGCCCUGCUUAUCUGUCUUCAUGAGGUUCUCAGUCUUGGCUGCACAUGAGAAUCACCUGGAGAGAUUAAAAAAAAAAAAAAAUCCUGAUGUUGGGUCAGAACUCUGAUUUGUUAAAUCAGAAUCUGGGUGGGUAAGAAACCUGGCUCAAAUAAAUGGUCAAGCUUCCAGGUGAUUCCAAUGUGGCUCCAUGAGGAGGUGGAGCGCAGCCACACUGGAGCUUUGUCAGGAGAGCUGGCGGGGUAGGAAGGGGAGCAGAAGUUCACGGCGCUACUCCGGGCUCAACCACGACUGCAUGAAGGACCAGACCGCCCACCUUCUCCAGUCCUGCCUGGGCAGCCCUCUGCAGUGUGGCAAGUCCCUGGGUGAGGAAGAAGAAGCGUCCUGCCGUGUUUACCCUAGGGACGCCUUUGUUGGGUGGUCCUGAGAAGGAUGACGGCCAACAUUACCAAGCAGGGUGUCUGCUGUGGGCCAGGUACUGUAAGUUAAGGCAGACAUCACUAAUGAACACUGAGUAUGCAGUCCUCCUCGGUAGAGAGCCACAGCCAGCCAGCCAGGACUCCUCUCUCCAGGCUUGCCUCGGCAGUGAAGCUGUUUGUCAGUUGUGGAGAGCACACCCUCAUGAAUCAACUGAUGUGCCUAUAGGAGGAUCAAGGCCCGGGGAGGCUGACUCGCCCAAGACUUGGGGAGUACAUGUUCCUGCCACAUGUGAAUGACUGAGGACCGUGGCAGGGGACAGGUCCCCGCUGUGUCACCAUCCAACAAGCAGCCAGCAGGACUGGUUUCUGAAGUCCCUGAGAUUCUGGCCUGAUCUGGCUCCCCUCUAAGUCCGCAGAAUGUGUGCCUCCUGACCUCUCAGCCCACCUGGAAGAUCCCAUAGUUUUCUUGUGAAAAGAUCAACCCAAAGUUCUCAGGGUUUCAAGGGCUUGUGUUACCCACUGCUCUACCAAGCACAUUUUACACUGGAUUGAAUUUCCCCUGCUUUAUGCAGGAACUCUGCCCUGUGUAUGAGCACACCACCGGAG